rnacentral:rRNA from 1 species
AAUCAACGCUGGCGGCGUGCCUCAGACAUGCAAGUCGAACGAGAACCUCCCUUCGGGGAGGGGACAGUGGCGCACGGGUGAGUAACACGUGGGUAAUUUACCUUUGGGUGGGGAACAACAGCCGGAAACGGCUGCUAAUACCGCAUAAUGCAGCGGCUCGACAUCGAGACAGUUGUUAAAGCGGGGAUCGCAAGACCUCGCGCCUGAAGAGAAGCCUGCGGCGGAUUAGCAGUUGGUAGGGUAAUGGCCUACCAAGGCGACGAUCUGUAACCGGCCUGAGAGGGCGGUCGGUCACACUGACACUGACAUACGGGUCAGACUCCUACGGGAGGCAGCAGUCGGGAAUUUUGGGCAAUGGGCGAAAGCCUGACGCAGCAACACCGUGUGAGCGACGAAGGCCUCGGGUCGUAAG